rnacentral:rRNA from 1 species
UAUUAUGUCCAUUAGAGUUUGAUCCUGGCUCAGGAUGAACGCUAGCUACAGGCUUAACACAUGCAAGUCGAGGGGAAACGAUAUUGGAAGCUUGCUUCCGAUAGGCGUCGACCGGCGCACGGGUGAGUAACGCGUAUCCAACCUGCCCACCACUUGGGGAUAACCUUGCGAAAGUAAGACUAAUACCCAAUGAUAUCUCUAGAAGACAUCUGAAGGAGAUUAAAGAUUUAUCGGUGAUGGAUGGGGAUGCGUCUGAUUAGCUUGUUGGCGGGGUAACGGCCCAUCAAGGCGACGAUCAGUAGGGGUUCUGAGAGGAAGGUCCCCCACAUUGGAACUGAGACACGGUCCAAACUCCUACGGGAGGCAGCAGUGAGGAAUAUUGGUCAAUGGACGAGAGUCUGAACCAGCCAAGUAGCGUGCAGGAUGACGGCCCUAUGGGUUGUAAACUGCUUUUAUAAGGGAAUAAAGUGAGUCUCGUGAGACUUUUUGCAUGUACCUUAUGAAUAAGGACCGGCUAAUUCCGUGCCAGCAGCCGCGGUAAUACGGAAGGUCCGGGCGUUAUCCGGAUUUAUUGGGUUUAAAGGGAGCGUAGGCCGGAGAUUAAGCGUGUUGUGAAAUGUAGACGCUCAACGUCUGCACUGCAGCGCGAACUGGUUUCCUUGAGUACGCACAAAGUGGGCGGAAUUCGUGGUGUAGCGGUGAAAUGCUUAGAUAUCACGAAGAACUCCGAUUGCGAAGGCAGCUCACUGGAGCGCAACUGACGCUGAAGCUCGAAAGUGCGGGUAUCGAACAGGAUUAGAUACCCUGGUAGUCCGCACGGUAAACGAUGGAUGCUCGCUGUUUGCGUCUGACGUAAGUGGCCAAGCGAAAGCGUUAAGCAUCCCACCUGGGGAGUACGCCGGCAACGGUGAAACUCAAGGGAAUUGACGG